rnacentral:rRNA from 1 species
AUUGAACGCUAACGGCGUGCUUAACACAUGCAAGUCGAGCGGCAGCAUGACUGUAGCAAUACAGUUGAUGGCGAGCGGCGGGCGGGUGAGUAAUGCAUAGGAAUCUGCCUUGUAGUGGGGGAUAACCCGGGGAAACUCGGGCUAAUACCGCAUAAUCUCUACGGAGCAAAGUGGGGGACCUUCGGGCCCUACGCUAAAAGAUGAGCCUAUGUUGGAUUAGCUAGUUGGUAGGGUAAAGGCCUACCAAGGCAACGAUCCAUAGCUGGUCUGAGAGGAUGAUCAGCCACACUGGGACUGAGACACGGCCCAGACUCCUACGGGAGGCAGCAGUGGGGAAUAUUGGACAAUGGGCGAAAGCCUGAUCCAGCAACGCCGUGUGUGUGAAGAAGGCCUUCGGGUUGUAAAGCACUUUUAGUGGGGAAGAAAAGUUCAUGGCUAAUAUCCAUGAAUGCUGACGUUACCCACAGAAAAAGCACUGGCUAACUCUGUGCCAGCCGCCGCCGUAA